UACGUAGGGGGCAAGCGUUGUCCGGAAUCAUUGGGCGUAAAGCGCGCGUAGGCGGCCCUGUAAGUCCGCUGUAAAAGUCAAAGGCUCAACCUUUGAAAGCCGGUGGAUACUGCAGGGCUAGAGUCCGGAAGAGGCGAGUGGAAUUCCUGGUGUAGCGGUGAAAUGCGCAGAUAUCGGGAAGAACACCCGUGGCGAAGGCGGCUCUCUGGGACGGUACUGACGCUGAGACGCGAAAGCGUGGGGAGCGAACAGG
rnacentral:rRNA from 1 species